rnacentral:rRNA from 1 species
AGUGAACGCUGGCGGUAGGCCUAACACAUGCAAGUCGAACGGCAGCACAGGAGAGCUUGCUCUCUGGGUGGCGAGUGGCGGACGGGUGAGGAAUACAUCGGAAUCUACCUUUUCGUGGGGGAUAACGUAGGGAAACUUACGCUAAUACCGCAUACGACCUACGGGUGAAAGUGGGGGACCGCAAGGCCUCACGCAGAAAGAUGAGCCGACGACCGAUUAGCUAGUUGGUAGGGUAAAGGCCUACCAAGGCGACGAUCGGUAGCUGGUCUGAGAGGAUGAUCAGCCACACUGGGACUGAGACACGGCCCAGACUCCUACGGGAGGCAGCAGUGGGGAAUAUUGGACAAUGGGCGCAAGCCUGAUCCAGCCAUGCCGCGUGUGUGAAGAAGGCCUUCGGGUUGUAAAGCACUUUUGUCCGGAAAGAAAUCCUUCAACUUAAUACGUUGGGGGGAUGACGGUACCGGAAGAAUAAGCACCGGCUAACUUCGUGCCAGCCGCCGCGGUAAGAC